rnacentral:lncRNA from 1 species
GUGGGGAGGGGGGCUGGACGGACUCGGCUGUGACUUCUGUCUAAGUUACCUUUGUCACCGCUGUGACUAAGCACCUGACCGAAGAACUUAAGGAAGGAAGGAAGGAAGGAAGGAAGGAAGGAAGGAAGGAAGGAAGGAAGGAAGGAAGGGUGGGUUUAUUUUGGCUCGGGGCUCUGGCAGGGAAGGCGUGGCUACAGGCGCGAGUGCAUGUGUGUGUGUAUGUGUGUGUGUCUGUGUGUGUGUCUGUGUGUGUGUGUGUGCGUGUGGCAGUUGGUGAAGCUGCACCUACAGUCAGGAAACCGAGAGGAGAAACAAGGGCUCGCUCAGUUGCUGCUCACCUUCUGAGUCACUCCAGAGCCCCAGUCAUGGAACGAUGCCAGCCACAUCCCAGGUGGGUCUUCCCCAGCCGCGCGUUAGCUGAAUCUGAAAAACCCGUCACAUGUGCCUGGAAGUCUGCUUCUAUGGUGAAUCUAAGAGCCACCGACGACGGAGCAAGAUGCUACAGCACAGCUCCCCUUUCUUGCCAAGGAGGACAACAAAAAGCCACCGUGAGCUCAGCUCUAUGACAGAUGGGAGAAGAGGGACAGUGGUACGUGUAGCAGGAGGGGUAAUCCCGGACUUUUCCCCCUGCAGGAAGGAGACGGUAGCACCAAGGCAGGCACAAUCUUCAGAAGAUAGGUUUGAUGGACACCUGCUAACAGUUUCUUAUCAUCUUUGCACAACUAUCCAUCCCAACUGCCAGAGGACAAAACAGGGCCUGGACUGGAAUUCUUGAAUAAGGGGGGAUGGGGAAAGAAAUAAAAAGCAAAAGAAAGGACAUGACUGUGCCUAGGUAUGGAGAAAGAGAAAGUUUAUUGUAGAUAUGAGAAAGAACAUAGCCAGAGACAGAAACAUCUGGGAGAAUCCAGAGUGCUCAUGAUCCUGAGCCCUGUAGAGAAAUGGGGAGGGAAGGGAGAGAGGGGAGCAGCUGGAGGUCAGAGGUAACAAGGGGCAGGGAACUAAAAUGUCUAGAUUAUAUAGCCAA